GCCAGGCAUGGUGCCGCAUGCCUGUAAUCCCAGCUACUCGGGAGGCUGAGACAGGAGAAUUGCUUGAACUCGGGAGGCAGAGGUUGCAGUGAGCUGAGAUCACACCAUUGCACUCCAGCCUGGGCAACAGAGCAAGACUCUGUCUCAA
rnacentral:SRP_RNA from 2 species